AGUGAACGCUGGCGGUAGGCCUAACACAUGCAAGUCGAACGGCAGCACAGUAAGAGCUUGCUCUUACGGGUGGCGAGUGGCGGACGGGUGAGGAAUACAUCGGAAUCUACUUUUUCGUGGGGGAUAACGUAGGGAAACUUACGCUAAUACCGCAUACGACCUACGGGUGAAAGCAUGGGAUCUUCGGACCUUGCGCGUUUGAAUGAGCCGAUGUCGGAUUAGCUAGUUGGCGGGGUAAAGGCCCACCAAGGCGACGAUCCGUAGCUGGUCUGAGAGGAUGAUCAGCCAAACUGGAACUGAGACACGGUCCAGACUCCUACGGGAGGCAGCAGUGGGGAAUAUUGGACAAUGGGCGAAAGCAUGAUCCAGCCAUACCGCGUGGGUGAAGAAGGCCUUCGGGUUGUAAAGCCCUUUUGUUGGGAAAGAAAAGAAGCAGGUUAAUACCCCGAUGUUCUGACGGUACCAAAAGAAUAAGCACCGGCUAACUUCGUG
rnacentral:rRNA from 1 species